rnacentral:rRNA from 1 species
UAGAGUUUGAUCAUGGCUCAGAUUGAACGCUGGCGGCAUGCCUUACACAUGCAAGUCGAACGGUAACGCGGGGCAACCUGGCGACGAGUGGCGAACGGGUGAGUAAUAUAUCGGAACGUGCCCAGUAGUGGGGGAUAGCCCGGCGAAAGCCGGAUUAAUACCGCAUGAGACCUGAGGGUGAAAGCGGGGGAUCGCAAGACCUCGCGCUAUUGGAGCGGCCGAUGGCAGAUUAGGUAGUUGGUAGGAUAAAAGCUUACCAAGCCGACGAUCUGUAGCUGGUUGAGAGGACGACCAGCCACACUGGGACUGAGACACGGCCCAGACUCCUACGGGAGGCAGCAGUGGGGAAUUUUGGACAAUGGGCGAAAGCCUGAUCCAGCCAUGCCGCGUGAGUGAAGAAGGCCUUCGGGUUGUAAAGCUCUUUCAGCCGGGAAGAAAUCACAUGGGUUAAUACCCUGUGUGGAUGACGGUACCGGAAUAAGAAGCACCGGCUAACUACGUGCCAGCAGCCGCGGUAAUAC